AAUUAAGUUGAGUAAUCAAAACUGGUAAGUGAAAUGUUUAUUUGUGCGGUCAAUUAUAUCGAUAUUACAGCUUGAGGCUACUUGGCCGUAAUUGUUUGUUCAAUAAUUUAAUUAGCAGAUUAAAUCGAGCUGCGAAUUUAAUUUCAAACAGAAUUUAUUGCAAGCUGAAGAAAAAAAAGCUGUUUGGAAUGCGUGGUUUACGAUGAGCUUUUAGGGCUUUGUUCUCAGGUAGUUGAAAAUAAACUGAGGUAAAGUCUUAACUGACCAAAAAUUUAAUUUCCUUAAAUAAGCUGUUAGAUGAAGUAAUGUGUCUAAUUAACGGAUACAGACGAGAUACUUAGAACGACUCCACAGUCGACUUGUCGCCAUGGGCGGUAGGAUCAAACACCUCUCCGCAAGCACAUUUAAUCGCUCUAGCCGACCCCAUGUCGGCACAAGAAAUGAUUUGUUUUAACAAAAGGCUAUUAUGGUUUCAUUUCAAGAGGAUCGGAAUUGCCAAGUUCUUAUUUUAUUCCUGAUCAAGAAGGUAACAUGCGUGUGGGUGGGCCAAAGUCGUACGAAGCGGAAAUUAUCUUUGUUUUUGUAGCCAAAUAAGACUAGGGAUAUAAAGAUGUCAUAUCUCGCGGUAAGUCCAUCUAAAUAUUUUAAUACCAUCAGUGUUACUGAUAUUGGUAUUUUUGUCUCAUUGUCUAGCCGUCACUACGUGAACGCUUCUUUUCUUUCUCGUCAAUUCCACAGCCAAAUAGUCAGCACGUGUCGCACGAACGCACAAUGUUCUGUGCUUUAAGGUGCGUUGAUUACGUAGCCUUGGUGUCACGAAAGAAAAAAAUGAAGAAUAUUUUGUUUGGAGGCCGUAAGAGGAUUAGCUUUGCGCUAAUUUCUCAUGUCUGUCCCAGCACAAAACAUUGUAAAGAGUAUUCUCGUCUGAUGGAGAGAAACCCAUUUUUGUGUGUGUGUGUUUUGUCAAGGGAUUGCUACUUUCACUCAUCAGUUUACUGUGAUGAUUACAAAUUCCUAUUCGAUUGCAAUCCUCCAGGUGAUCGUGGUGAGGCAUAUUGGAUUUAUUCACGAGGGUUUACCGUGAUGAAGAGGGAAAACAGGAAAAAUCUGGUUUCAAUGAAAGGCUACAGUCAGUGAUGUGUCAGAUUUUCUAGCUCACAAUCAGCAAUGUCCCUCACACAAUUUUCCUUUCCAAUAUCUUUGCAUUCCUCUAUUUUCCAUUUCUUGAAAAUAAUUUCGUUAUCGACAUCCAUCAAUAUCUAGAAACGAUAACGUGGCAAAUCGUUCAAUUUGUCAUUAAAGCAAUCGAUAAAGAUUCUGGUUAUCAAUAGCUCUAGCAAUCUUUCAUCAGUCAUUUGUAAGGCUUAUGAUUCGUCCGCCAGGAAAGGAGAGAGUCACGAAUGAAUUUCCUGUCAGAGAGAAUGUUAGUUGUUGAUCUUAAAGUCAGAAGGCUUCUACUGUGCCAUAAAAGACAGCAAUAAAUUUUCUCGAUUCGGUAGACUAAAGUUUUUUAUUGUCAUCCUGUCAGCAGACGUUUUUACUUGUCUUUGUCUCUUGUGUAGGACAAAGGAUAGAACUGCCCUUUCGUCGAGAACAUCACGAAAUUGUCUAUAAUCAUUGUUAAAUUAUUUGAUUUAGUAAUAAUGGACACAGAGGUGUGAAAAGAAAAAUGUAGGACAAAUUACGUCUUCAGUUUAAAACUGUUUAAAUAUCUUCAAGAAAACUGGAUCAACUCUUUUCCUCAGCUCUAAGGUCACCAUAGGCAGCCUUCAAGAAGUAACAAAAAUAUAAAGGUGAGAAGAGGGAAUAAUGAUCAGGCGGAACGUGGGACUAACGUGGGACAAAAACAGGUAUGCCGAGGACGGUCUGGAAAGCAGAUCAAAAAGAUAAACAUACGGAAGAAACCCAAGGUGGAAACUGCGGACCAAGUUAUGUCACAUCUCCCACGCUGUUUUUUUUUUCUUUCUUUAAUCAAACAAUUGCAAAAGAUGCAUCAGAAACAAUUUGUAAAUGAAUUAAAAACAGAAGCAUGUAGCCUGGUCCUUAUUAAAUCUUCCGGAUCGCCUCA
rnacentral:lncRNA from 1 species